CUCCAUACAAUCUGACUUUCUCUAAACAAGAAAAGUCCAUCCACUAAUUUCCUUACACAAAGUACGGCAGUGAAACCAAAGCUUUUGAAGUAGGUGGCCGAGAGCUCAUGUUGGUCUACUGCUGUAACUUAUGUGGUGUGUGCUUUCUCUGGGACUGGGAAAAGAAAACUAAGAUCCUGCCACAUGAAUUAAACUUUCACUUGGCUUCUGCACUGCGAGAAGAUGAUGAGCUCUUCCAUGUACAAACUAGUUGAAUCUGGCUUCUACACUGUGGAUGCGAUUCAGCUUCUGCAAAUCUUUCAGCAAGUUCCAUUUAGCACUUCUUGAAAUCGAUGUGUUGCGUAGGCUUGGAAAUCAUAUAAAGCAAAUUUCCCGGUGCAUGGUGAAACUGAAGUUAACCGUGGAAAAAGAUCAAAGAUUGGUGUCAAGAGAGACAAAAAACUGAAGAACUUUCAAACAUUUUUGUUUGAUGAUUGAAAGCUAAAUUUUCUGAAGUUUCAAGUUCCAUCAACGGUGUCUCUGUCUUCGAUCAUCCCAUCAUGCAACCUGAGAUCCGCAUAGUCUUUGCCUUGCAGAAGGAAGCAAAGCCAUUGCUUCCAUUCAAACGUGAUAUCAAGCCUCACACAUUUACAUUGAAUCAACAACCACGUGUCCCAUUCAUAUCACGCAUCAAUUGCUGUCUUUGUGUACAUUGGGCAUACAUUGACUUCAUCAUACUUCUUACUCUGCAUCAGUUCUUGUUCUGUCCCAGUCAUUGUCCUUUCCUUCAUUUUGUUGUUUUCUCCCAGUUAUCUGACACAGAAGGUCAAAAGGUAGGUUAGCUAAAUUGUCAUUGAUCAGCCCUCAGAGACUCAAAGAAAGAAGCUAAAAAUCAUAGACCAGAAACACCAAGAACUUUGACAGCUUCAGCACUCCCACAAGUCUACAAGAAGGAUAUAAUAUUAUUGCAACCCUUGAAUGAUGAACCAUUUCAAAGUUAGGCGACUGUAAGGUAAAAGGAUAUAAAUGCCAGUUACUCCUGCUUCAAGGCUUGAGGAAUGUGGUGAACAGUACUUGAGGAUGAGGUGAAGGAGCCAUUGGUUGUCGAAGGACUGGGGUUGGCUAAAAGUUGAGCUACCUUCUCUUCUAAGAUGAAACUAGUCACCUAAACCAUGUGACUCUCUGAUCUGACGCCAUUAACAACAUUUGCUUACAUAUUUCUUUGAUCAUAUCUAAUGAUUUAUACCUCCUCCAUCCUUGUGACCUCACCUCCUAAACAUACCAACCUGCGCCAUUUUCAAGCCACCCAACGCCUUCCAAAACUCCCCAGCUGAUGUCAGUUCUUAUCGCUUGACUUGUUGAGUUCAUCUUCAAGUCGAGCUAGCUUUUGUAGAUUUGUCAUAGUAGUGCAUCGUACUACCAGUCAAGUUUAUUCUUCGAGGUAGAUUAGCAUGACUGACGUGAAGUUUCAGGUUAAUGACGAAGGUGAUGAUGUGAUCGGAUUGUUUGCACCACUAAGAGCGCCUAAUUAAGUGGAUUGCCGAAGAAUCGAUGUGGUCGCCAUUUAAUCAUGUCACCUGUUUUCUUGGUAGAUUGGUAAAGGCUACGACACUGCCACCAACUCAGUUGAAUACAUGGAGUAGAAGCUCUCGUGGCAGAGAGCAGGAAGCAGAACACGGCAGGUGUCUCAAAUCCAAGUGGCCCCUGAACCAAUUGUUAGUAGAGAGAGAAUCUAACACUGCGAGUCCAGAUUUGGUGAUCGAAGUGCUGCUGUGAGCCUCCUUCCUCCCGCCAUUUAUAUAAGAGCUCACUCCUCCAGUUGUCUGCAACUAUAGAAGUGGAAGUUAAGG
rnacentral:lncRNA from 1 species